rnacentral:rRNA from 1 species
CCCUUAGAUGUCCUGGGCUGCACGCGCGCUACACUGAUGUGUCCAGUAAGCACCUAACCUCUUCCGAAAGGAACAGGUAACCUUUGCAAAGCACAUCGUGAUGGGGAUAGAUUAUUGCAAUUAUUAGUCUUGAACGAGGAAUUCCUAGUAAGCACAAGUCAUCAGCUUGUGUUGAUUACGUCCCUGCCCUUUGUACACACCGCCCGUCGCUCCUACCGAUUGAAUGUUCCGGUGAGCUCUUCGGACUGCGCGGUCUGCAGUUUCUGCGUUCCGUGCGGAAAGUUGCGCAAACCUUAACAUUUAGAGGAAGGAGAAGUCGUAACA